CUCGCAUGAAGAAGAGCUACCUCAACACCUCUUGCCUCAGUUGGAAUUAGUCCAGGGCAUUGGACCAGUGUUGAGUUCAUAGGUGAGCACCAGGUAGCUCAAACUGUGGGGCUCAGGUGGAAGCACUGGCAAACUUGAUGCCUGUGCCUGAAAUCCAUUCUCUCUGAAUGCCUUUCUGAUUUCCUACGGGGAGAGUUAAUAAGAAUGCCUUUCCUUUACUUAUUAAAAAGAUGAGGUACAAAUUAUAUGUGACUUAGACACUUUUCAUCAAAGACCACAAAGAAGAAGAAUUCAUUCUGGCCCUACCCUUUUGAGAAAAGAGGCCACCUGAGAACACAGCAAGAAGUUGGCUGUCCACGAACCAGGAAG
rnacentral:lncRNA from 10 species